AUUGAACGCUGGCGGCAUGCUUUACACAUGCAAGUCGAACGGUAACAGGCCUUCGGGCGCUGACGAGUGGCGAACGGGUGAGUAAUGCAUCGGAACGUGCCCAGUCGUGGGGGAUAACGCAGCGAAAGCUGUGCUAAUACCGCAUACGAUCUAUGGAUGAAAGCGGGGGACCGUAAGGCCUCGCGCGAUUGGAGCGGCCGAUGUCAGAUUAGGUAGUUGGUGGGGUAAAGGCUCACCAAGCCAACGAUCUGUAGCUGGUCUGAGAGGACGACCAGCCACACUGGAACGGAGACACGGUCCAGACUCCUACGGGAGGCAGCAGUGGGAAUUUUGGACAAUGGGCGCAAGCCUGAUCCAGCAAUGCCGCGUGCAGGAAGAAGGCCUUCGGGUUGUAAACUGCUUUUGUACGGAACGAAACGGCGAGCUCUAAUACAGUUUGCUAAUGACGGUACCGUAAGAAUAAGCACCGGCUAACUACGUGCCAGCCGCCGCGGUAACAC
rnacentral:rRNA from 1 species